AGAGUUUGAUCCUGGCUCAGAUUGAACGCUGGUGGCAUGCCUUACACAUGCAAGUCGAACGGUAACGCGGGGGCAACCCUGGCGACGAGUGGCGAACGGGUGAGUAAUACAUCGGAACAUAUCCAGUGGCGGGGAUAACCUAUCGAAAGAUGGACUAAUACCGCAUACGAUCUACGGAUGAAAGCAGGGGACCGCAAGGCCUUGCACUAUUGGAGUGGCCGAUGUCGGAUUAGCUAGUUGGUGGGGUAAAAGCUUACCAAGGCGACGAUCCGUAGCUGGUCUGAGAGGACGAUCAGCCACACUGGAACUGAGACACGGUCCAGACUCCUACGGGAGGCAGCAGUGGGGAAUUUUGGACAAUGGGCGCAAGCCUGAUCCAGCCAUGCCGCGUGAGUGAAGAAGGCCUUCGGGUUGUAAAGCUCUUUCGGUGAAGACGAAACGGUUCAUGCUAAUAACGUGAACUAAUGACGGUACUCACAGAAGAAGCACCGGCUAACUACGUGCCAGCAGCCGCGGUAAUACGUAGGGUGCAGGCGUUAAUCGGAAUUACUGGGCGUAAAGCGUGCGCAGGCGGUUUGCUAAGACAGGUGUGAAAUCCCCGGGCUUAACCUGGGAAUUGCGCUUGUAACUGGCAAGCUAGAGUGUGGCAGAGGGGGGUGGAAUUCCACGUGUAGCAGUGAAAUGCGUAGAUAUGUGGAGGAACACCGAUGGCGAAGGCAGCCCCCUGGGUUAACACUGACGCUCAUGCACGAAAGCGUGGGGAGCAAACAGGAUUAGAUACCCUGGUAGUCCACGCCCUAAACUAUGUCAACUAGUUGUCGGGGAAGAAAUUCCUUGGUAACGAAGCUAACGCGUGAAGUUGACCGCCUGGGGAGUACGGCCGCAAGGUUAAAACUCAAAGGAAUUGACGGGGACCCGCACAAGCGGUGGAUUAUGUGGAUUAAUUCGAUGCAACGCGAAAAACCUUACCUACCCUUGACAUGCUAGGAAGCCCGCAGAGAUGUGGGUGUGCCCGAAAGGGAACCUAGACACAGGUGCUGCAUGGCUGUCGUCAGCUCGUGUCGUGAGAUGUUGGGUUAAGUCCCGCAACGAGCGCAACCCUUGCCAUUAGUUGCUACAUUCAGUUGGGCACUCUAAUGGGACCGCCGGUGACAAACCGGAGGAAGGUGGGGAUGACGUCAAGUCCUCAUGGCCCUUAUGGGUAGGGCUUCACACGUAAUACAAUGGUCGGUACAGAGGGCUGCCAACCCGCAAGGGGGAGCUAAUCCCAGAAAGCCGAUCGUAGUCCGGAUUGUAGUCUGCAACUCGACUGCAUGAAGCCGGAAUCGCUAGUAAUCGCGGAUCAGCAUGUCGCGGUGAAUACGUUCCCGGGUCUUGUACACACCGCCCGUCACACCAUGGGAGUGGGUUCCACCAGAAGUAGUUAGCCUAACCGCAAGGAGGGCGAUUACCACGGUGAGAUUCAUGACUGGGGUGAAGUCGUAACAAGGUA
rnacentral:rRNA from 1 species